GAGGGCAGCUACCCAGCAAUGGGAUGCGAAUCUCGAAAGCCUGUCUCAGUUCGGAUUGGAGGCUGAAACCCGCCUCCAUGAAGUUGGAUUCGCUAGUAAUCGCGCAUCAGCCAUGGCGCGGUGAAUACGUUCCCGGGCCUUGUACACACCGCCCGUCAAGCCAUGGGAGCCGGGGGUGCCUGAAGUUCGUGACCGCAAGGAGCGACCUAGGGCAAAACUGGUGACUGGGGCUAAGUCGUAACAAGGUAAC
rnacentral:rRNA from 1 species